rnacentral:rRNA from 1 species
GACGAACGCUGGCGGCGUGCCUAAUACAUGCAAGUUGAGCGCUGAAGGUUGGUACUUGUACCGACUGGAUGAGCAGCGAACGGGUGAGUAACGCGUGGGGAAUCUGCCUUGGAGCGGGGGACAACAUUUGGAAACGAAUGCUAAUACCGCAUAAAAACUUUAAACACAAGUUUUAAGUUUGAAAGAUGCAAUUGCAUCACUCAAAGAUGAUCCCGCGUUGUAUCAGCUAGUUGGUGAGGUAAAGGCUCACCAAGGCGAUGAUACAUAGCCGACCUGAGAGGGUGAUCGGCCACAUUGGGACUGAGACACGGCCCAAACUCCUACGGGAGGCAGCAGUAGGGAAUCUUCGGCAAUGGACGAAAGUCUGACCGAGCAACGCCGCGUGAGUGAAGAAGGUUUUCGGAUCGUAAAACUCUGUUGGUAGAGAAGAACGUUGGUGAGAGUGGAAAGUUCACACUGUGACGGUAGCUUACCAGAAAGGGACGGCUAACUACGUGCCAGCCGCCGCCGUAA